CCGCUGACUCUUUGCCUGUGAUGCCGGACCCGCUCGACUACUUCUGUGUUCUCCAGCCCCGCUCUACCUGAAGCUAAGCUAACAGCAGAGCCACAGAGUCCCUUGUCCAAUGGGGGAUGGUCACUCUGAAGUGUGUGAUAGUCGCACAAUAACUGGACAUACUGUAUAUGUGGUACAAGGACAAGAAGAACAAUCUUGUGAUUGAGGGAAACAACUUCACCAUCACCAGAGCUACUGACUCUGAUGAGGGUACAUACUGGUGUCAGGGGGUAAGAGGAGAGAGCAACAGAGAGACCCACAUCACAUCCAUGUCUCCUUUCAGUUUUGUGCCCUAGUACAUCAGAUCUUGCCCAACCACAGCAAACCAUCAAUCAGAACAGGCCAAGCCCAAAGCCAGCCUGGGGGGAGUGAAGAGGACCAAUCUCUCUGUGCCUCUGCAGAGGGGUGAGUACUGUAGGUUAUGACUCCAAUGGGACUGGCAUUGAUAAUAAUAUAUAAGGAAGAAUGUGUAUAAUCAUUUCUCUCUCUCUCUCUUUUUGAGCGUUUCUCUGUUGUUUAAGGUAGUGAAGAUGUAUAUGAGACAAUUACUGUCAAGCACUGUGAUGGGGAAGAUAGUGAACAGGCUUCUAGAAGCUCAUCUUGAAGUGGUUUUCCCACUGUCCCAAAUAGGAUCGCAGAGAACACAAAAACAGCGUGUUCAAAUGUGCAUCCAAAGCCAAUCGAAUGUCAAAGGUUCAUCCUUUCCCUUUUUAUCACCAUCACCACAACCAUCAUGGUCAUCAUUAUAGCGGCCAUAGUCCAUAGGCCACGUCCUGUGUGUUGUGUGUUUUUUGUAUUAGUGCUUCUAUUUUGAUGUAGAACUGUGCUUGGAUGGAUGUUUUGAAUGGACCUGGAUUUUGGACAAUAAAAAAAAAAAAGAUUCCACAUUUGUUUCUAGCAAGUCAGCAGUGUUUUGCCUUCCUCACUUAGUUUUUCAGUGACUUAA